GUUAUAGCAGCGUAAAAACACAUAGAAUUAAAUAUGGUUUUACAUUCAUCUCUUCAAAGACAACAAGAAGAUGCAGGGAAUAUAUCUGUAUCACUGAAAUGCAAGAAUGAAGAGGAAAAAUUACUCAAAGCUAUAAGACAGACAUGCUGGCAUCCUGGACUGUUAUUGGGGCAUCAUUUCUAUAUCCAAAAUACAAUCAGUUGAAUCAACUGAAUGGCGUUAUAGUACGCUAGUCUGAAGACUGAUGGAGCCUGAUGAAGCUGGAUCAAAGAUUGGCAUAUAAUGGACAUUAUUGAAGCAAGAGAAUAAGAAUGUGAAUGCUUCCAGAAUGCUAAAUCAGAAAAGCAACACUAUCUAAUUCAGACCCGCUUCUUGUCAGUGUCAAGAAAAUUCAAGUGUCAGACCUAUAGCUUUCGAACUGAACUAUAAUUAGCCAGAUCAGUAAUUAUUUGACUUAAUUCUGAAAUACAUUUAAUGCAUUUGCUUUUUUUUUUUGUAGUAUGAAGUCAUGAUAUAAACUUAAUGGAUUCUGAAAAAUGUCAGUAGCAAUUGUAGUGGAGCUGGAGACAAGAAGCCAAUUUUCCUAAUUGAGUCAUUUUUACUCAUUUUAACGUCUGCAUGGAUUCCUUCUGAGAAAUCAACUAACAUUCCUUUCCUUUAUUCUAUGGUAGCAUGCCCAAUUAUUUGAGAUUUUAAAUAUUGUUUAAAUGUCACUGAUUGCCUUAUUUGAGAUUUGGCAGAAUCCAUUCUGUCUACAGUUAUUAAUGGCCAAAAGUAAAAAAUAAAAAUGCUUCCACAGUAACAAUAAUAUCUGCCUUUUUUUCAGUGAAAGCUAGAACUAAAAGCCAAUGUAAGCAUUCAAGAGAACAAAUCUCUGAUAAGUAGACUUUAUUGAAAAAUAAUGAAAUUCUUAUAGAAGAUUUCCAUUGACUGUUAUGUAUUACAUGUA